CGGAAGUUGGAUCAUGAGCUCCUGAUGCUCUCUCUCUCUCUGAAUGAAGAUUGAGUGUUACCCCAGACUGCAUCAACCUCUGCUUUCACAGGAGGAUUUACCUGCAUAUCUUGAACUAAUUGCCUCAGCCAGCUUGACUCAUUGGGACUGGAAUUUUAUCGAUCUUUUGAGUGGAGAAGGAGGAUUGUCCCGCCUGCUUCCAGAGAUCUGACUGGUGUCUCAAGUGGAUAUCAGCUAAGAACGUGUUGCAGCCAGUGGGCAUUACAUGAACAACAGGCACUCAAGUCAAGUACAUGGGACACUUGUGGAACAGCAUCUUUUUUUUUCCUUGGAAGUAGUGUUCUUCAGGCCAUAAGAUCAGAAAGUACAGGAGCAAAAUGAAGCCACUUGGCCCAUCAAAUACGCUCUGCCAUUCAAUCAUGGCUAAUAUUUUUCUCAAGCACAUUUACUGUUUCAUACAUCGCACACAUUUAAGUACAAUAUCCUCAGUCAUGCACUGACCGCCCACCUUCUCAUUAGUUGGCCACUUAUCCACUGUGGCUGAAGUUAGAUUCCUUAGCUCCCCCCUUCCCCAGUACUGGUGCCAGUGUUUCAUGAAGAUAACAUUGCAAAGAAAAGAUUUUAAUUUAAACUGAGUUGAUGCUAAAAGUGCACAGGAUUUAGGUCCCAGAGAAGAUAAUCACUUGAAACUGUUAAUGGGUUUGACUAGCUUGAAUUGUUUUGCAGAAGUUUUUUUUUAAAAAACUUUAAAUGCAUGACAAUAUAUUUUUUAUGGAAAAUCUUUAUUUAAACUGUGCAAUCGUUCAAAAUUCAGACUAUUUUACAACAGUUUUAAAACAUUUUGGCUUUUAGACUAGUUAUAUUUUUGGCAUGACUUCGCAAAAUUACAGAUCAGGCACCUGAAUUCUAGGCAGCAUUCACCGUAAUGCUAUUAUAAAAUAGGAAAACACAGUUUCUCAGGAAAAGUAGUUAAAGACAUAAAUGAGGUACAUUCACAAAUCAAGGCAAAUGUUCAUUCUCCUACAGCAAUGGAUUCAAAGUGGAGCUGAUCCCCUGAGACAAAAAAUUUGAUAUAAUCCAGGUCCACCAUCCAGUAGCAGGAUUACAAACACUGCCUUUACAAGACAAUUGGCAACUGAAGAUAGAAGGUUCAGAACACCUGAGAUACAUCAUUAGACUGUACCUUCCACUUCUUCCCUUUAGUUCACAUCUUAACAUUAUGAUCUAAAUCAAAACAAAAACUAACAUAUUAUUGUUCUCAUCACAAAGAAAAAAUACAAAUAGCAAUACAAAAAGGAGUUUUGUUUUUCCGCCCUACCAGAUCGAUGUAAUAUGUCCUUAGGUGACAUCCUUCAGUACUACAUUAGUUACAUAACAAAUGGAUGUAGUUACAUGUCACCUAAGCACCCAUUACAGUAGUCGCAUAACUUUAACAAGUCAAAAUGAAAAUACAAAUGCAGACAGUUUAACAAAUUCCAGAUUAAUGAGUAUCAACAAAUAAGUGUGGCAGUAGUUUUUUUUUGUCUGUAAUUAACACCUCAAAUCUCACUCAGCAAAAACUCAUCACCAGGCCAGCAUAUUUAUCAGAUUCUGCCUUUACUGAAUUAAUAGAUAGGUUCUCAAGAUUAGUGCUAACUUUUUCUAAUCAGUUGGUGAUGUCAGUAGCAUCAGAUUUAUCAGAGACAAAUCACCCUAAUAAACCCAAAAAAAAGGUAGUUAUACAAAUUAAUAUGAUCAGUCAAAAGCACUUUGUAACAUUUAAUGUUGCUGUAGAUGCAGGCCAAUGCAACAGAAUUUAUGGACAAGAUGAAAUUAAACAAGAGUUUUGUUUGUGAAAAUUUCUAUAUCCUACAUAGAGAUUCAGUCUCAAUUCGUAUCUAACUACACAAUAUCUGAAACAUUUGAAAAAAAUGACAAAAUAUGCUGGUGGCUCUUAGCAGUCUAGUCUUGAAGUACUAUACAUUACAUAUCAAAGGUAUUGCAUUAAAUGUCUUUCUACUGACUGGCUAUUUCGUGAUCUCCAUCAAAAAGACCAUCCAUAAUAUGGAAACUACAAUGACCAAAAAGACUUUCAACUUGGAACCAUAAUAUCAAGCCCUAUUAAUGACCAAAAUGUGCACAUUUUCUGGGGGAAAAAAAAAGUUACUGAUAGCUAGAGUCAUGCCAUGGAUUGUAGGAAUGGGGUGGAAAGGGAACAGGCUUUGCUUUGUUUAAUGCUCGAUCAAACGCAAAGCUGGAAAGAAAAGUGGGUUGAGGGUGCAUAAGGAAUAGAGCAGUGGUCCAACAUUUUAGAUUUACUCUGAUGAAAAUGAAUUAGAAAUUCUCAACAGUAAAUGGCAUUAUGAACACAAGGACAAUGGGCUUUUGACGACUUAAAUAUUAUUCUGUAAAAAAUUGACUUCAAAAUUUCCAAAAGCACCAUCAAAACCAAGAAAUAUAGAUGUUUACUUGUAGUGUUCAGCAGAAUGACACUUUCACCAAUCAUGCAUUGAACCACAUAGCACCUCACUAGAAAUGAAGAUAGAAGGAAGCUGAUAAGGUUUUUAAAAAACUCAAUGGCCAUCAGGUUUAUUCUGUAUACUGCAACCUUAAUGUAUAAAGUACUUCAAAAUGACUGCUGUACAUAGUGAGAAGAUGCUGGCUUUGACUGAGGAUGUUUAACAUGGACUUUUUUUGCUGCAUUAAAAUAAAACAAAUAGUUAAACAACAUCAUUUAAAGAGAAGACCAUCUAUUUCUGAGUGAAGAGCUAAACUCCUACUUUUGAUACAAAGGUGAAUAAAAAGUAAUCUUUGGUUUUUAUGGGCAGCUGAUCUAGCUGUAUUUGACACUGAAAAUAUUAACACUAUUUAUUAAGGAGGAAGCAGUUUAUUUACUCUCCUUUUUUUGUGGAACUCAACAAGAGACAGAACUUUCUUAUUGCUCAACACUGGUUAACAGAUUCUAUUUAAAGCUAUUAUAAGGCCCUUUUCUUCCCCCACCUCCCUCAUACUCCAGAACUGCCAUUUUAUAACACAUAUCUAUAAGUAACCACUACAAACGUGACAACAAGCCACUGAAGCAGUCAUCUUUAUAAAAGAUGGUUGUUAUUUAACUGAAUCGUGCAAGAAAUUGCUGAGUGUUACAAGCAGCUGGAGUAUUUCACUUUGGUUUGCGCAAGAGAAAUUUGGUAUUUCUUUAGAAGCAACAUUUUUAAGUAAAACCUAUGUUAAUUAGGGGAAGAGAAAAAGUUUGCUUCCUUUUAAAAUGCUAAACAAUUAAUGCCAGAAGCAUCCAAUAAAGCUUCAGUUAUUGAGAAAAAGGGAAUAAUCUUGUAUCCAGUGAUAUUAAACAAUUUAUUGCAAUAUUGAGGAGCAAUAUACAUUUAUAAAUUACACUUGGAACUACAAGAAAAUUCUCUUUCUCAUUCAUCAACUUGUGUAGGUUGGAUGAAAAGUGACAGUUCUUGGGUCUUGAAUUCAGAUACUGUAUAGACACAGUGCCCUGUCAAGAUAUAUUAAAAAAGGUCCAACAAGGAAAAUAAAUCUUUGGAUAUAGACACACGUCAUUUACCUAUGCAUACCGCCUUGAUUCCUACUACUAUAGGAUGACACUAAUUUGAAAGACAAGUGCUAAACUGACUAUUACUCUAAUUCUGAUCUACACUAUAAAGAGCAGAGUGCAGCUAACCAGAAGUAGUACUCAGUAGAUAGUACUAAAGAUCUUUCAAUGAGCCGAUACAAGAAAUAAACUCAAACAUUAAAUUCCUUUAGAUUUGAAUAGAUUCGAAUUUGCCUUUAACUAAUUU